CCUCAGAUCAGAUAAGUGACUUUUUUCUAUACUCUUACACUUUUUCAUUACACACAUAAUUUUUGUUAAUAUCACUUUAAAUGUUGUAGGUUUUAAUGUUUCAUGUUGUUCAUUUCUAUGUUGUCCCUGUUUCAGGGUCAGUAUUAUAGUGCUUAGCUCUGCUUAGGCUCAGACAUUUUCCCUCUCUCCCUGGCUUUCACUAACUGCCAGGGCUGAGAGGGGUCUGACAGGCUGUGAGACCGCACCGCCCGCGCGUCUGCGGUCUCACUAGUGCCCUCCCUCCCUCCCUUCUGUGUAAUUGCCGGCACCCGCUUAGACAUCCCAGCGGGUGCCGAGCAGCUCUAUCUCCCUCUUUUCCCCUGCCGGGUUUACUUCCGCCCGGCGGUCUGAGGCCGCGGGGAGCUCUCUCCUCGCGGCCAUUACUGGAGGGGGGGUGGAGCAAGUUCGCCUUCGGCGCGCUUCUCUUCUCUGAAGCGCGGGAAGGCUGAACGGCUCCUAGUUGCUCCUGCUGCCCUCCGUGGGCAAGGUUGUACGGUUUCUAUUUUCCCAUAUUUGCUUCUAAGGGUUAAUCAACCCCUUUUUCUCACUACCCUUCUCUUUGUUUGUUUGUUUGUAUCCUGUAAGUUUUUU